AUGGAUGGAGGAACUUCAUGGGGGCACGGAUGGUUUCAAAUACAGUCACAUCCAAUCCCUCCAAGAUGUAUUUUGUCCUGGCAUCAUAUUUCCUGGCAUUUGCCUAGUGUGGCCUGGAUAAGCAAGGGUUACAUGUUGAACCAAAUUCAGCUGAGACCUCUGGGUGUUACUGACCCAACCUCUACACUUUGGUCGGCUGUUUUCGCAGGGGUAAAAUCUAGAGCUGCUAAGAUAGACGAAACCAUGACCAUGACAAGCACGUGGACCAGGCCACAAUUGUACAAAGGGGACAUUGAUGCUAAGGAUGUGCAUCCUGCCAAAGCCUGCAUUGCCUCCAUUUCUUCCACAUCAUCCGCAGACCUCGUCCGCUUGCCUGAAACUCCUGACCUUUCCCCUCUUGGGCUGCCUCAAGUCUGCAUAAGUGAUGCGCAAGGAACCUGUCCCUACCGGGACUGAAGAGGAGACAGGCUACAGAAGCUGACCCUGGAUGACUUAAAUAAAAAAAGAAGAGUGAAUUGAAUGAAUGCGUCA
ensembl:lncRNA